UAAUUUCCAAUUCCACCUCUUCUAGAUUUUAGAAGAUCUUUCAAACAUUGUUCACAUAGAGAAAGUCCUAAAAUUAGGGGAUAUGUUGUUGGCUUGGUGGCUGAAGUUAGGGAGUGGACUAAUAAGGAGAUUGAGGGUUCCACCCCACCUUCGACAAAAUACUAACAAUAUUAAUAAUACUAAUUAGUAACAUUGACAAUUGAAAAACAAAAAAAAAAAACCUAAAAUAGAUACUUAAUUCUCUUCACAAAUAGCUUAUAGGCAAGACAGAGAAGUACACCAAAUUUAAAGCUGGCGUAGAACAGAACUUGCUAGUGUUUUGAUUUCUCAAAAACGGUUGUGAAAAUUAACUAACCAAAUACUCUAGUCAUAAUAAUUCAUAAACAAGAAAAAAAGUGUAAGAUUCAUAUUCAAACAUGAAGAACAAAAAAAAAGUUCAGUUCAAUCUCACAGCACAGUUAUUUUAAGCUCAUUCCAGAUCUAGAACGCUGAAUUAAGAGUAAAGUGUUUGUUUCAGCUUUAAUUUAGUUUAACUCUCACACAGUAAAGAAAUGAAAAGUUUCAAGAGUGGAAAAUGCUUAAGGCUAAUGCAGAAGCUGAGGAACAGUGUACUCAUAAGCAAGAACUGAAAAUAUACAAAUUAAAAAUAAAAAUAAAAAGAAUAGUUGAAAAUGCUUUUUAUUUGAAGUUUGAAGCUAAACAAACAGAAGUUAACUUACAGUUAGAGAUUGGAAGAGUAGCGCCAUUAGAGAGAAUGAAAAAGUUGGUCAAAACGGUGAAGUGCUUAAAUGAAGAAACAUGCGAAGAACAACACACACAGUUUAAGGCGACACAACAAAAUGUGCUUUCUUUAGUUUUGGUAAUGUCACCUGCAUUAACCAAACAAUGCAUAAAAUGUAUUACAAUCAAAAAAAUGUGAAAACACUCAAAUAUUAACUUAAAUAUUUUUUCUUGAAUUUAAAUUUAAA
rnacentral:lncRNA from 1 species